rnacentral:rRNA from 1 species
CUCAAAUUUGAAAUCUGGCACUUUCAGUGUCCGAGUUGUAAUUUGAAGAAGGUAUCUUUGGGUCUGGCUCUUGUCUAUGUUUCUUGGAACAGAACGUCACAGAGGGUGAGAAUCCCGUGCGAUGAGAUGUCCCAGACCUAUGUAAAGUUCCUUCGAAGAGUCGAGUUGUUUGGGAAUGCAGCUCUAAGUGGGUGGUAAAUUCCAUCUAAAGCUAAAUAUUGGCGAGAGACCGAUAGCGAACAAGUACAGUGAUGGAAAGAUGAAAAGAACUUUGAAAAGAGAGUGAAAAAGUACGUGAAAUUGUUGAAAGGGAAGGGCUUGAGAUCAGACUUGGUAUUUUGUAUGUUACUCUCUCGGGGGUGGCCUCUACAGUUUACCGGGCCAGCAUCAGUUUGAGCGGUAGGAUAAGUGCAAAGAAAUGUGGCACUGCUUCGGUAGUGUGUUAUAGUCUUUGUCGAUACUGCCAGCUUAGACUGAGGACUGCGGCUUCGGCCUAGGAUGUUGGCAUAAUGAUCUUAAGUCGCCCGUCUUGAA